ACGCUGGCGGCGUGCCUAAUACAUGCAAGUAGAACGCUGAAGGAGGAGCUUGCUUCUCCGGAUGAGUUGCGAACGGGUGAGUAACGCGUAGGUAACCUGCCUGGUAGCGGGGGAUAACUAUUGGAAACGAUAGCUAAUACCGCAUAAUAGUAGAUGUUGCAUGACAUUUACUUAAAAGGUGCAAUUGCAUCACUACCAGAUGGACCUGCGUUGUAUUAGCUAGUUGGUGGGGUAACGGCUCACCAAGGCGACGAUACAUAGCCGAUCUGAGAGGGUGAUCGGCCACACUGGGACUGAGACACGGCCCUGACUCCUACGGGAGGCAGCAGUAGGGAAUCUUCGGCAAUGGACGGAAGUCUGACCGAGCAACGCCGCGUGAGUGAAGAAGGUUUUCGGAUCGUAAAGCUCUGUUGUAAGAGAAGAACGAGUGUGAGAGUGGAAAGUUCACACUGUGACGGUAUCUUACCAGAAAGGGACGGCUAACUACGUGCCAGCAGCCGCGGUAAUACGUAGGUCCCGAGCGUUGUCCGGAUUUAUUGGGCGUAAAGCGAGCGCAGGCGGUUAGAUAAGUCUGAAGUUAAAGGCUGUGGCUUAACCAUAGUACGCUUUGGAAACUGUUUAACUUGAGUGCAAGAGGGGAGAGUGGAAUUCCAUGUGUAGCGGUGAAAUGCGUAGAUAUAUGGAGGAACACCGGUGGCGAAAGCGGCUCUCUGGCUUGUAACUGACGCUGAGGCUCGAAAGCGUGGGGAGCAAACAGGAUUAGAUACCCUGGUAGUCCACGCCGUAAACGAUGAGUGCUAGGUGUUAGACCCUUUCCGGGGUUUAGUGCCGCAGCUAACGCAUUAAGCACUCCGCCUGGGGAGUACGACCGCAAGGUUGAAACUCAAAGGAAUUGACGGGGGC
rnacentral:rRNA from 1 species